CUUUAAUUAUUAACUGACUGUUUUAUGUUCUCGCAUUAAAUAUUUUCAAUUAGUUAUUUUUGACAGUAGCCUAUGUAUUUUUAGACAUGAGGGGAACUCGUUUUUCGUCAGUCUGAGGAUAACCUAAAACAACCAGGCUAAACUAAUAAACGGUCAUAAAACUAUGGACUGACUUUUUUUCCAAACAAUCCUACAUCUGUCCAUUUAUAAUAUUAACCCCUUACACUCAAGGGAUUUUUAAUUAUUUUGUUUAAGUGACAUAUGCUUAAAAUUAAAGCAGCUCUUUUGUUGUGCGUUUACCGUGAAAAGUAGACCUGUCAAUCAAAGACCUAGUUUAGUACAAGCGCGCAUGCCACUAGACAGUCAUACAAAGAAGUGGUUAUAGUAAAGUGAUAGUAAGUGAAGACACACAGCUAUUCAUAAAAAUAGAGCCUUAACCUUUGUUAAACAAAAUAGAAUGGUCUUUUCUGUUUUUUUCAGUGAGUGAUUGAUCUAGAAGUCAUCCUACAGUUCUGAAUUGCCAUUUUCUUAACAUACUGUUUUAGUCAAUAAAGAUAAAUUGAGUGCACAUUAAUUCACAAAGGCAUUUGCAAUAUAUUUGACUCCUUUUCAUGUUUCGUCUUUUUCUCAACAGGAGCUACAUACACCCCAAAGGCUCUUUUCAGAGCCCAGGCCCAUUUUGCACAGCGUCUUUGCCUUUGUACAUGUACUUGCCGCGUCAGCACACACGACGGCUGGAACUACAGUAUGGUCUUCCCAGUGGACCAGCACCACAUCCAUCUGGAUUGAGACGAGUAGGGGACAUCUCUAGGGUCUUCACAUAUUGAUACACACACCAUUGCAACUUGGAUCACCAUCACCACCACCAUCCCCUGCAUCAGACACCCUAAAUCGUGCCCUUCAUCAGACACCCUACAGUAAAUGCACCACAAACAACACAGGCAAAGAAGAAGAAAACGCACGACAAAUCUCCUCCAGCCCAUCCCACAUCAUCGUAUAGUAAAGUGACGCCGCCGGAUAAUAAUGACGGCCUGUGUGCUUUGCAGCCUUUUCUAGGGAUCCUUCAGAGGACUAACAAUGGUGCUGUGUUAAGAAAUCCUACCCAACAAAAUUCCACUGAGGCAGAUGUAGAGAUGACUGCGAGAAACUGGCUGCGGCUGAGGAGGGACAGGAAGCAAGAGGGCGAGCAUCUUAAAGUGAAAUAAUUGAUUGGACUGAUUUUUCCUGUUUACCUAUUUUGGAGGGAAUUUCUUUUUGUUGUUGUUGUACUUUUCUAUGUGUGAUUUGAUGAGUGUUAAAAUAAAUGAUACUGCUUUUGCAAAAACAAAAGUAAAAAAUAAAUGUUCAAGGUCA